GCAAACUUGGUCAUUUAGAGGAAGUAAAAGUCGUAACAAGGUUUCCGUAGGUGAACCUGCGGAAGGAUCAUUAACGAGUUUUGAACGGGGUUGUAGCUGGUCUUUUGAUUGAGACAUGUGCUCGCCUCACUCAAUCCACUCUACACCUGUGCACUUACUGUAGAUCAUGAGUUGAAAUGUGAAGUCAUUCAGUUGGCUUUGCACUCAGGUUCUAUGUUUGCUUUUACAAACAUCAAUGUAAUCAGAAUGUUUUUGUGUUUGAAACAUAACGCAUUUAUAUACAACUUUCAGCAACGGAUCUCUUGGUUCUCGCAUCGAUGAAGAACGCAGC
rnacentral:misc_RNA from 1 species